rnacentral:rRNA from 1 species
CCUGGUUGAUCGUGCCAGUAGUCAUAUGCUUGUCUCAAAGAUUAAGCCAUGCAUGUGUAAGUAUGAACGAAUUCAGAUUGUGAAACUGUGUAUGGCUCAUUAAAUCAGUUAUAGUUUGUUUGAUUGUAACUACUACUCGGAUAACUGUAGUGAUUCUAGAGCUAAUACGUCCCCGACUUCUGGAAGGGAUGCAUUUAUUAGAUAAGAGGUCGAGGUGGGCUCUGCCCAUUGCUCUGAUGAUUCAUGACGGAUCGCAUGGCCUUAGUGCUGGCGACGCAUCAUUCAAAUUUCUGCCCUAUCAACUUUCGAUGGUAGGAUAGUGGCCUACCACGGUGGUAACGGGUGACAGAGAAUUAGGGUUUGAUUCCGGAGAGGGAGCCUGAGAAACGGCUACCACAUCCAAGGAAGGCAGCAGGCGCACAAAUUAGCAAAUCCUGACAUGGGGAGGUAGUGACAAUAAAUAACAAUACCGGGCUCUUUGAGUCUGGUAAUUGGAAUGAGUACAAUCUAAAUCCCUUAACGAGGAUCCAUUGGAGGGCAAGUAUGGUGCCAGAAGCUGCGGUAAUUCCAGCUCCAAUAGCGUAUAUUUAAGUUGUUGCAGUUAAAAAGCUCGUAGUUGAACCUUGGGAUGGGUCGCCCGUUCCACCUUCGGUGAGCACCGGAGCGUUGUCCUAAACAGGAUCAAGCAUGCUCUGAUACGAACUUGUAAGACCCGAUCCCGGCCGCCUAGGCCGCGGUCGAUGCCUCACGUCGCUCGGUCCACUUCCUGGCCGAACCUCUUAAUUUCUGCCCUUUAUUUAUAAUAUCGCCUAAAGGCGAGGGCUAACUUAGACCUUAGCUAAAGACUUACCUAGUCAUUAAUAGCCUAGAUCCUUUCAACAGAUACGCAGCGGAAUAUUCUCUAGUUAACCAUUGGUCUAAAACCAAUCUAACACUUGUCUGGUCGAAUCACCUUAGCCUUGGUCGGUUUACUCAACUACCAAUUAGCUUA